UGGGUUAUCUACCUUUCAGUGAGGGAUACCGGCGAGAAAUCGCCGACAAUACCGCAUACGGUUGCUCCCAGAGAGGGAGCAAAGAAAGUCGAGAAGACGCUGGAAGAUGAGCCUGCACCUGAUUAGUUAGUUGGUGGGGUAAAAGCCUACCAAGACUGCGAUCAGUCGCUGGUCUGAGAGGACGAUCAGCCACACUGGGAUUGAGAACGGCCCAG
rnacentral:rRNA from 1 species